rnacentral:lncRNA from 1 species
AGUGGGAAGAUGGAUUACUCUGAAGGAUCGGCAGGUAGUGACAGAAAAAGAAAAAGGCGAGAACACGAGGAGAGAGAGAGAGAGAGCGCUGGAGCUUCGAAAGGAACUCUUGCUGCUGGAAUUGCGAGAGGUGGGGCGAGCAAGCCACCUGUCAGAGGUGCAGCGGAAGAGGGAACUCAUGAGGAUCCUGAACCGAAGAGAGGAGGAGAUACGGUUCCUGGGAGAGAACCGCAAGGCUGCCCUUGAGAAACAGAGGGAAAUGGGACACAAGAAAGUGAGCAGAAGGGUAAAGAAAGGGAAAAAGGGGGAGAAGUUGGAGGAGAAUCAUGAUGACAUGGUCCAGGUGAAGAGAGAGAGUGGAUCUGAGGAGAGAAAGAAAACUUCCGAGAGAAACAAAGUGGAGCAGCUGACGAAAGACCGGGAGAGGGAUGAUGACACGGACGUGCUUCUGAGAGAAAUGGAGGAGGAGGAGGAGGAGCGUGAGGCAGAGCAGGCUCAGCCAAGGGUCACCCAGAUGAGCAAUAAGGAGGAGCUCAGACAAAGACAUGGGAAAAAACUGACUGACACGGAGAGUGAAAAGGAUUUGGGUAAUCCACAGAGAAAGCAAGGUCAUGAGAGAGGAGAAACGAAGACAAAAGAAGGGGCAGAGAACAUGAAGAUUCAGAUGAAGAGGAGGAUGGAGGAACGUCUGAGAGAGGAGGACAGACUGAGAGCUGAAUCAGGAAUCCCGGAAGAGGAGAUGUACCAACUGAGUGUGGACGAUGGAGAAACGAGGUACCAGGAGGAGGAGAGGGGGAACGAGAGAGGGACGACAGUAGGUGAAAAGAGGAUCUGGGGCUCCUUCUCUCUGAAGUCACAUGCCCCCAAGCAUCACUGGGACGGCAUAGGCAGAGAAGACACAGAGGAUAGGAGUGGUGAAGAAAAAAGAGAGAUUUCAAAUCAAGUUGAGUGACAGGAAGUGGUAGCUGGAAGACAUGGAUGAAAUCUAGAGAGAAAGAGAGAUGGAGUGACAAAGAUAUGGAGACUGAGUAAAAAAAAGGAAGGGGAAACAACUCAACUAUAUUUCAAAC